CAGCCGCCGCGGGAAUACGUAGGUGGCAAGCGUUGUCCGGAAUUAUUGGGCGUAAAGGGUGCGUAGGCGGCCCCGCAAGUCUCAUGUGAAAUCUUCAGGCUCAACUUGAAGUCUGCAUGGGAAACUGCGGGGCUGGAGUAUGGGAGAGGUGAGUGGAAUUCCUGGUGUAGCGGUGAAAUGCGUAGAUAUCAGGAGGAACACCUGUGGCGAAAGCGGCUCACUGGACCAUAACUGACGCUGAGGCACGAAAGCUAGGGGAGCAAACAGGAUUAGAGACCCGUGUAGUCCCUGUAUCUUAUAC
rnacentral:rRNA from 1 species